rnacentral:rRNA from 1 species
GACGAACGCUGGCGGCGUGCUUAACACAUGCAAGUCGAACGGAAAGGCCCUUCGGGGUACUCGAGUGGCGAACGGGUGAGUAACACGUGGGUGAUCUGCCCUGCACUUUGGGAUAAGCCUGGGAAACUGGGUCUAAUACCGAAUAGGACCACGCGCUUCAUGGUGUGUGGUGGAAAGCUUUUGCGGUGUGGGAUGGGCCCGCGGCCUAUCAGCUUGUUGGUGGGGUAAUGGCCUACCAAGGCGACGACGGGUAGCCGGCCUGAGAGGGUGACCGGCCACACUGGGACUGAGAUACGGCCCAGACUCCUACGGGAGGCAGCAGUGGGGAAUAUUGCACAAUGGGCGCAAGCCUGAUGCAGCGACGCCGCGUGAGGGAUGACGGCCUUCGGGUUGUAAACCUCUUUCAAUAGGGACGAAGCGCAAGUGACGGUACCUAUAGAAGAAGCACCGGCCAACUACGCG